AGGAUAAACGCUGGCGGCGUGCCUAACACAUGCAAGUCGAACGCGCUUGCUAUCCGCGAGGACGGUGAGCGAGUGGCGGACGGGUGAGGAACACGUGGGUGACCUACCUUUCAGUGAGGGAUACCGGCGAGAAAUUGCCGACAAGACCGCAUACGCUUCUCUUUUCAAGGGGAGAAGGAAAGCUUUUCGCAAGAGAGGCGCUGGGAGAUGGGCCUGCGGCCGAUUAGCUAGCUGGUGGGGUAAUGGCCUACCAGGGCGACGAUCGGUAGCUGGUCUGAGAGGACGAUCAGCCACACUGGGAUUGAGAACGGCCCAGACUCCUACGGGGGGCAGCAGUGAGGAAUUUUCGGCAAUGGGGGCAACCCUGACCGAGCAACGCCGCGUGCAGGACGACGGCCUUCGGGUUGUAAACUGCUUUUCUCUGGGACGAGCAAGGACGGUACCAGAGGAAGAAGCCCGGCUACUACGUGCCAGCAGCCGCGGU
rnacentral:rRNA from 1 species